ACACGUAGGUGGCAAGCGUUGUCCGGAAUUACUGGGCGUAAAGGGCGAGUAGGCGGCCAUGCAAGUCAGAUGUGAAAGGCUAGGGCUUAACCCUAACAUUGCAUUUGAAACUGUGUGGCUUGAGUACAGGAGAGGGAAGCGGAAUUCCUAGUGUAGCGGUGAAAUGCGUAGAUACUAGGAGGAACACCAGUGGCGAAGGCGACUCCCUGGCCUGUAACUGACCCUGAGGCGCGAAAGCGUGGGGAGCAAACAGGAUGAGAUACCCUGGUAGUCCACGCUGUAAACGAUGGAUGCUAGGUGUGGGAGGUAUCGACCCCUUCUGUGCCGCAGUCAACACAAUAAGCAUUCCGCCUGGGGAGUACGGCCGCAAGGUUGAAACUCAAAGGAAUUGACGGGG
rnacentral:rRNA from 1 species